GCCCCUGUUGUCUAAUGGUUUAUGACGUCAGACUUCUAAUCUGGAGGUUGCGGGUUCGAGUCCCGCCAGGGGUU
rnacentral:tRNA from 1 species